rnacentral:tRNA from 1 species
CGCUUUAGCUCAGCUGGUAGAGCAUCUGAUUUGUAAUCAGAGGGUCGAGAAUUCGGGGCUCUUGCCUACAGCAACCC